GUUUUAUGCAAAUCUUCAAUUUAUCAACGAACCUUCGUCGCGGUUGAAAACUCAAGUUACAGCAAGCAGCAAGUGGAAGAAGGGCUUCCCUCUCCAUUAUCCGACAAAAGACUUGUGAAUUCCCGAAGGUGAUUUUCUGUGGGUCGACUAAGAAUUUUGGAAAACAACAAUUCUCCACGGACGAAAGGGGUUCCUGCUGUAAUUAGAUAAGUCUAGCAAAUAUUUUGUCUACGUGUUUAGACAUUUCCUGAAGGGAAGGUGCGAGGAAUUGGCCACACGAUUUCUCGAAGGUAUCGUUACUCUUCCUCGUCGUUGCAGUUUUCAAGAAGACGUGACAAUUUCACCCGGAUGUCAAUUAUUAAGGCGAACUCGCCGCAGUCUGCAUAACGCAUGACGCGACGGCUCGUCAAAUAUUUACGAGAACGACGGUAUUGAAGCGACGAAUCGCCCUCGUUCGACCAGAUUU